rnacentral:tRNA from 1 species
GUAGGUGUACCAUAGGGGUUAUGGAGAUGUUUUAGGUGCAUAGGACGUUGGUUCAAUUCCAACCAUCUGCU